AUUGAACGCUGGCGGCAGGCCUAACACAUGCAAGUCGAGCGGAGCGGCGGACGGGUGAGUAAUGCCUAGGCAUCUGCCUGGUAGUGGGGGAUCACGUCCGAAAACGGGCGCUAAUACCGCAUACUAUCGUAUGAGCAAAGGUUGGAUUAGCUAGUUGGUGAGGUAAAGGCCUACCAAGGCGACGAUCCAUAACUGGUCUGAGAGGAUGAUCAGUCACACUGUGACUGAGACACGGCCCAGACUCCUACGGGAGGCAGCAGUGGGGAAUAUUGGACAAUGGGCGAAAGCCUGAUGCAGCCAUGCCGCGUGUGUGAAGAAGGUCUUCGGAUUGUAAAGCACUUUAAGUUGGGAGGCGUUACCAACAGAAGAAGCACCGGCUAACUCCGUGCCAGCCGCCGCGGUAAUAC
rnacentral:rRNA from 1 species